UACGUAGGGGGCAAGCGUUGUCCGGAUUCAUUGGGCGUAAAGAGCGUGUAGGCGGCCAGAUAGGUCGGUUGUGAAAACUGGAGGCUCAACCUCCUGACGUCGACCGAAACCCUCUGGCUAGAGUCCGGAAGAGGAGAAUGGAAUUCCUGGUGUAGCGGUGAAAUGCGCAGAUAUCAGGAAGAACACCCGUGGCGAAGGCGGUUCUCUGGGACGGUACUGACGCUGAGACGCGAAAGCGUGGGGAGCGAACAGG
rnacentral:rRNA from 1 species